CAGCAUGAUCUAGCUUGCUAGAUUGAUGGCGAGUGGCGAACGGGUGAGUAAUACAUCGGAACGUGCCCUGUAGUGGGGGAUAACUAGUCGAAAGAUUAGCUAAUACCGCAUACGACCUGAGGGUGAAAGUGGGGGACCGCAAGGCCUCAUGCUAUAGGAGCGGCCGAUGUCUGAUUAGCUAGUUGGUGGGGUAAAGGCCCACCAAGGCGACGAUCAGUAGCUGGUCUGAGAGGACGAUCAGCCACACUGGGACUGAGACACGGCCCAGACUCCUACGGGAGGCAGCAGUGGGGAAUUUUGGACAAUGGGGGCAACCCUGAUCCAGCAAUGCCGCGUGUGUGAAGAAGGCCUUCGGGUUGUAAAGCACUUUUGUCCGGAAAGAAAUCGCACUUACUAAUAUUAGGUGUGGAUGACGGUACCGGAAGAAUAAGGACCGGCUAACUACGUGCCAGCAGCCGCGGUAAUACGUAGGGUCCAAGCGUUAAUCGGAAUUACUGGGCGUAAAGCGUGCGCAGGCGGUUGUGCAAGACCGAUGUGAAAUCCCCGGGCUUAACCUGGGAAUUGCAUUGGUGACUGCACGGCUAGAGUGUGUCAGAGGGGGGUAGAAUUCCACGUGUAGCAGUGAAAUGCGUAGAGAUGU
rnacentral:rRNA from 1 species